GUCGGGGCGGGAGUUGCUGGUGGCUAGUUCGGGAGGUGGCGGGGCGGGCAGGGGCCCCGGGUCAGUUUUGGGAGGGACAGCCUGGGGCUUUAGGGAGCGGAUCGGACCCGGGGUGACCUGCCCUGCCGCCUGUCCAGAUCAAAGCCAGACUUGAACGGAGAGGCUGUUCGGAAAGGCGGUGGCCGGUAGAGAGGGUGCCCCGUCUCGGAAUCCAGCAGGGAAGGACAGGCGAACAGGAGCUGUGAGGGGGAGGCCGGCGGGGACAGGCGGUCAGGUUACAGUUUUGUGCUGGCACCACCCCACGUUCCCCGAGUGACGAUUGGUAAGAGGGGAUUGGAACACUGGUCGAAGCCCGUGUGAAAUAAAACAUCCAAACUUAGCCCGCACAGACUUGUAUCGAAAAGGAUUAUUGGGGGACUGGAUGUAGGGGACAAGGGACUGUGGCCACAUGGGGAGGGGUCUCCUGCAAGCGGCAACCAUAAUACUGCGGUAGGGGCAGAGGGCGCACUGGAACAGGAGAGUGUUUCUCUCGCGAGGUCCACAGCAUCUGAAGACCUGGGUCAGAAGUUUUCCUUCGGGGAGGCCUAAACAAGGCUAGAAAGAGCCAGUCGUGGGAAGACUGAUGAAGUCAGGCAUCCUAGGCGUGCUGGUCCACCCCGCCUGAUGCCAGCUGGUUCUCAGGAGGGCUGUCUGCAGGCUCAGGGUGCCCUCAUGCAGGCCCUGGAAGAAAGCCAAGGCUUGCCUAUCAGACGUUUUGUUCCAGUUGGUCAGCGGGGACCUGCAGUUCAGCUAUCCAGUAUGUGAGAGAGGGUGGGAAUUUGGAGGGUCUGGGUCUGAUCUCCUGGGCCCACAAGGCACGACCCUUCACGGCUCAUGUGCUUUGCAGAACCCUUCUCCAAAACACAGGGUGGGAUUCCUUUCCCCUCUGCUGUCUCCGGGAGCACACACUCACCCCGGCUCAAGGUCACUGCCAGCUGUGGCUAGUGGCACCUGUCACAGCUCAGCACCAGUGCUUCCUGAUCCAGCUCAGCUUCCAUUCCUUGUAAAUAGCAGCUUCUCUUGUCUUUUCCUUGUCUUAAUGAAGGUGGGAAGUUUUUUUAUCUGUUUUUUGCCUGUUGCUGUUAGAUUGUAUUCCAGGGUUUAGCCUGAGUGUGCUUUUGGGGAAAAACGUCUCAAAAUAGGAAACAUUCAUUACCUUUCCAUUAAAAUUGUAGGAAGACACAGACCACCCCACAACUCAGGAGAGGAAGGUGAAGACUUGGGUGGAAAGGAGUGUAAAAAUUGUAGUGACCCUGCCAUGCAGGACUCUGUGCCACUUCUCUUUAGUGUCUGAGCAUAAUGCCCCUUCUGCAAAACACAACCCAGAAAACUGAGAAGUGUCAGUUUGAUUCACAGUUUAAAUUUGUCAGUUUAUCGUGAGGGUAAGUAUUGAGGAUAAGGAUAGUGGAUGCUGUUUUCUUUAAGGGAUCUUGG
rnacentral:lncRNA from 1 species